CCCUGAGCCCGUGGCUUUUCGGAGCUAACGCGUUUAAGUAGACCGCCUGGAGAGUACGGGUCGCAAGAUUAAAAACUCAAAAUGAAUUGACGGGGGCCCGCACAAGCGGUGGAGCAUGUGGUUUAAUUUCGAUGCCAACGCGAAGAACCUUACCUACUCUUGACAUCCAGAGAACUUUCCAGAGAUGGAUUGGUGCCUUCGGGAACUCUGAGACAGGUGCUGCAUGGCUGUCGUCAGCUCGUGUUGUGAAAUGUUGGGUUAAGUCCCGCAACGAGCGCAACCCUUAUCCUUGUUUGCCAGCGAGUAAUGUCGGGAACUCCAGGGAGACUGCCGGUGAUAAACCGGAGGAAGGUGGGGACGACGUCAAGUCAUCAUGGCCCUUACGAGUAGGGCUACACACGUGCUACAAUGGCGCAUACAGAGGGCAGCCAACUUGCGAGAGUGAGCGAAUCCCAAAAAGUGCGUCGUAGUCCGGAUCGGAGUCUGCAACUCGACUCCGUGAAGUCGGAAUCGCUAGUAAUCGUGGAUCAGAAUGCCACGGUGAAUACGUUCCCGGGCCUUGUACACAC
rnacentral:rRNA from 1 species